rnacentral:rRNA from 1 species
AACGAACGCUGGCGGCAGGCUUAACACAUGCAAGUUGAACGGGAUUUGUGUGGUGCUUGCACCAUAUAAUGAGAGUAGCGCACUGGUGAGUAACACGUGGGAACGUGCCUUUUAGUGGGGGAUAACAUCUGGAAACGGAUGCUAAUACCGCAUACGCCCUGAGGGGGAAAGAUUUAUUGCUAAGAGGUCGGCCCGCGGUAGAUUAGGCAGUUGGUGGGGUAAAGGCCUACCAAACCUACGAUCUAUAGCUGGUCUGAGAGGACGAUCAGCCACAUUGGAACUGAGACACGGUCCAGACUCCUACGGGAGGCAGCAGUGAGGAAUAUUGGGCAAUGGAGGCAACUCUGACCCAGCCAUGCCGCGUGAGUGAGAAGGUUUCGAAUUGUAAAGCUCUUUCGGGUGUGAAGAUGAUGACGGUAACACCAGAAGAAGCCCCGGCAAACUUCGUG